rnacentral:rRNA from 1 species
AUUGAACGCUGGCGGUAUGCUUAAGACAUGCAAGUCGUGCGGUAGGGGCUUCGGCCCUGAGAGCGGCGGACGGGUGAGUAACGCGUGGGAAUCUGCCUGCUAGUGGGGGAUAGCCCGGAGAAAUCCGGAUUAAUACCGCAUACGUCCUAAGGGGAAAGCCGCAAGGCGCUAGUAGAUGAGCUCGCGUAAGAUUAGCUAGUUGGUGAGGUAAAGGCUCACCAAGGCGACGAUCUUUAGCUGGUCUGAGAGGAUGGCCAGCCACAUCGGGACUGAGACACGGCCCGGACUCCUACGGGAGGCAGCAGUCGGGAAUAUUGGACAAUGGGCGCAAGCCUGAUCCAGCAAUACCGCGUGUGUGAAGAAGGCCUGCGGGUUGUAAAGCACUUUCAGUUGGGAAGAUAAUGACGUUACCAACAGAAGAAGCACCGGCUAACUCCGUG